rnacentral:tRNA from 1 species
ACCUGGCUGGCUCACUCAGAAGAGCAUGUGACUCUUAAUCUUAGGGUCAUGAGUUCAAGCCCCACGUCAGGUG